CCCUUAGAUGUUCUGGGCUGCACGCGCGCUACACUGAUGCGAUCAACAAGUUUUUCCUAUGUCGAUAGACACGGGUAAUCUUUUGAACUCGCAUCGUGAUGGGGAUAGAUUAUUGUAAUUAUUAAUCUUCAACGAGGAAUUCCUAGUAGGUGCAAAUCAUCAGUUUGCAUCGAUUACGUCCCUGCCCUUUGUACACACCGCCCGUCGCUGCUACCGAUUGGUUGAUCUUGUGAAUUAUUCGGACUGCCGGCUGAAGGGGUUUCCUCAUCUGCCAGCGGAAAGUCUUGUUAACCCUAUCAACUAGAGGAAGCAGAAGUCGUAACA
rnacentral:rRNA from 1 species